AGCAAGAUGGCCGAGAAGGUGAAUGGUUGUAAACUAUUUUACGGGGGAAAUGAAUAAUCCUUCUCUUGUUA
rnacentral:tRNA from 1 species